rnacentral:rRNA from 1 species
UACGAAGGGGGCUAGCGUUGCUCGGAAUCACUGGGCGUAAAGCGCACGUAGGCGGAUCUUUAAGUCAGGGGUGAAAUCCUGGAGCUCAACUCCAGAACUGCCUUUGAUACUGGGGAUCUCGAGUCCGGAAGAGGUGAGUGGAACUCCGAGUGUAGAGGUGAAAUUCGUAGAUAUUCGGAAGAACACCAGUGGCGAAGGCGGCGGCCUGGGUUGACACUGACGCUGAGGCGCGAAAGCGUGGGGAGCAAACAGG